UACGUAGGUGGCAAGCGUUGUCCGGAUUUAUUGGGCGUAAAGCGCGCGCAGGUGGUUUCUUAAGUCUGAUGUGAAAGCCCCCGGCUCAACCGAGGAAGGUCAUUGGAAACUGGGAGACUUGAGUACAGAAGAGGAUAGUGGAAUUCCAAGUGUAGCGGUGAAAUGCGUAGAGAUUUGGAGGAACACCAGUGGCGAAGGCGGCUAUCUGGUCUGUAACUGACACUGAGGCGCGAAAGCGUGGGGAGCAAACAGG
rnacentral:rRNA from 1 species